rnacentral:misc_RNA from 1 species
AACGCACCUUGCGCCUUUUGGUAUUCCGAAAGGCAUGCCUGUUUCAGUGUCAUGAAAUCUCAAUCUAAUAUGUUUUCUGAACAUGUUAGACUUGGACUUGGGCGUCUGCCAGUGAUGGCUCGCCUCAAAUGACUUAGUGGAACAUCCCACAUCAGUGUUAGACGUAAUAAGUUUCGUCUCUCCUUGUGGUGAUGACUGCUCAGAACCUGCCAUCGCGCACUUUUGACUUUGACCUGAAAUCAGGUAGGGCUACCCGCUGAACUUAA